rnacentral:rRNA from 1 species
GUCCACGCCGUAAACGUUGGGCGCUAGGUGUGGGUCCCAUUCCACGGGGUCUGUGCCGCAGCUAACGCAUUAAGCGCCCCGCCUGGGGAGUACGGCCGCAAGGCUAAAACUCAAAGGAAUUGACGGGGCCCCGCACAAGCGGCGGAGCAUGCGGAUUAAUUCGAUGCAACGCGAAGAACCUUACCAAGGCUUGACAUGCACGGUAAUCCUCCAGAGAUGGGGGGUCCGCAAGGGAUCGUGCACAGGUGGUGCAUGGUUGUCGU